UGAGGAAGUGACUGUUCCUGCCGAAAGGAGCGGGGUGCAGCCUUCCCCAGCUCCGCGCACGGCAGGAGCAGAAGACAGGCAGUGAGGAGAAACAGCACCGAGGGCAGAGCAACUCCGGGAGGACAGAGCAGGAGGAUGGAGGCGACAUCCUCAGUAGGACAGUGACAUUAUUUCAGAUUGACAGCUGGCCCAGGAGGAUCCUGACCGUAUGGCUGAAGUUCAGGAUCUGGAGCUUAGGGCGAGAAGAACCCGUUGACCAGUGGAAGGUCCAACCAGGAAAACAGAAAGCACCUUGGACAUCUACGUGCAAGGGAAUUCAAGGAAGGGGCCUGGCGACAAGGUGAUGAUGUACUUGAGAGACAGUGGAAGGGCUCGGCUCCCCGUUCACCGGUGGUUCAGGAGAGCAGACGCUCCCACCUCCGCCCGCCUGGCGCUCAGUUGUGGGGCCAAAGGCAGUCAGUGAGUUGGGGAAAUGCUAUCCAAGCAAAAUAAACACCCUGAAAAGA